rnacentral:rRNA from 1 species
GGCGGACGGGUGAGUAACGCGUGGAUAACCUGCCUCNCNNUGGGGGAUAACAGUUAGAAAUGACUGCUAAUACCGCAUAAGCGCACAGUGCCGCAUGGCAGUGUGUGAAAAACUCCGGUGGUGUGAGAUGGAUCCGCGUCUGAUUAGCCAGUUGGCGGGGUAACGGCCCACCAAAGCGACGAUCAGUAGCCGACCUGAGAGGGUGACCGGCCACAUUGGGACUGAGACACGGCCCAAACUCCUACGGGAGGCAGCAGUGGGGAAUAUUGCACAAUGGGCGAAAGCCUGAUGCAGCGACGCCGCGUGAGUGAAGAAGUAUUUCGGUAUGUAAAGCUCUAUCAGCAGGGAAGAAAAUGACGGUACCUGACUAAGAAGCCCCCGGCUAACUACGUGCCCAGCCAGCCGCGGUAAUACGUAGGGGGCAAGNCGUUAUCCGGAUUUACUGGGUGUAAAGGGAGCGUAGACGGCGAAGCAAGUCUGAAGUGAAAACCCAGGGCUCAACCCUGGGACUGCUUUGGAAACUGUUUUGCUAGAGUGUCGGAGAGGUAAGUGGAAUUCCUAGUGUAGCGGUGAAAUGCGUAGAUAUUAGGAGGAACACCAGUGGCGAAGGCGGCUUACUGGACGAUAACUGACGUUGAGGCUCGAAAGCGUGGGGAGCAAACAGGAUUAGAUACCCUGGUAGUCCACGCCGUAAAACGAUGAAUGCUAGGUGUUGGGGGGCAAAGCCCNUUCGGUGNCCGCCGCAAACGCAGUAAGCAUUCCACCUGGGGAGUACGUUCGCAAGAAUGAAACUCAAAGGAAUUGACGGGGNACCCGCACAAGCGGUGGAGCAUGUGGUUUAAUUCGAAGCAACGCGAAAAAACCUUACCAAGUCUUUGACAUCCCCCUGAACGGGCCGGUAACGCGGCCUUUCCUUCGGGACAGGGGAGACAGGUGGUGNANGGUUGUCGUCAGCUCGUGUCGUGAGAUGUUGGGUUAAGUCCCGCAACGAGCGCAACCCUUAUCCUUAGUAGCCAGCACGUGAAGGUGGGCACUCUAGGGAGACUGCCAGGGAUAACCUGGAGGAAGGUGGGGAUGACGUCAAAUCAUCAUGCCCCUUAUGAUUUGGGCUACACACGUGCUACAAUGGCGUAAACAAAGGGAAGCGAGACAGUGAUGUGGAGCAAAUCCCAAAAAUAACGUCCCAGUUCGGACUGUAGUCUGCAACCCGACUACACGAAGCUGGAAUCGCUAGUAAUCGCGAAUCNUAAAGGNGCGGUGAAUACGUUCCCGGGUCUUGUACACACCCCCUUUUAGGGGNCAUGGGAGUCAGCAACGCCCGAAGUCAGUGACCCAACCGAAAGGAGG